rnacentral:rRNA from 1 species
CCUACGGGAGACAGCAGUGGGGAAUAUUGCACAAUGGGGGAAACCCUGAUGCAGCGACGCCGCGUGAGUGAAGAAGUAAUUCGUGAUGUAAAGCUCUAUCAGCAGGGAAGAAAAUGACGGUACCUGAGUAAGAAGCCCCGGCUAACUACGUGCCAGCAGCCGCGGUAAUACGUAGGGGGCAAGCGUUAGCCGGAUUUACUGGGUGUAAAGGGAGCGUAGACGGCAGUGCAAGUCUGGAGUGAAAGGCGGGGGCUCAACCCCCGGACUGCUCUGUAAACUGUACGGCUGGAGUGCAGGAGAGGUAAGUGGAAUUCCUAGUGUAGCGGUGAAAUGCGUAGAUAUUAGGAGGAACACCAGUGGCGAAGGCGGCUUACUGGACUGUAACUGACGUUGAGGCUCGAAAGCGUGGGGAGCAAACAGGAUUAGAUACCCGUGUAGUC